rfam:Oryza barthii chromosome 10, whole genome shotgun sequence.
AGAUCGCCUUUUUCAUUUUUGCCUUCUUCAUGUGGGGAGGAUCUUUAAAGAAUAUUUCCCAAGAGCUGAGGCCC